ensembl:lncRNA
GGGGAGAGGGAUGGAGGAAGGGAGAGGAGAGGAGAAAGGGAGAGGGGACAAAAGACAAGAGAAGUGCAGUGGAAAGAGAAGCGAAUGGAUAGAUAGAAAGGGGGUGUGGAGAGGAGACAUAAGAGAAUGAUAGAUAGAGGGGGUGUGGAGAGGAGACAUAAGAGAAUGAUAGAUAGAGGGGGGGGUGUGGAGAGGAGACAUAAGAGAAUGAUAGAUAGAGGGGGGGUGUGGAGAGGAGACAGAAGAAGAGGGGAGGACAAGGGGACAUUGGGUAUUACGUGGAGAACCGAGGUGAUGGAUGGAGAGAAGAUGAGGUGGCAGGUGAAAAGAAGAUAAGCAGGGGAGGACAGAGGAUCAGGUCAUCAUUUUAAUGAUUUAAUCCCCCAAUGGUUUAGGGUCCCAGUUUCAGACAAAGCGGCCAU